CUGCUGCCUCCCGUAGGAGUCUGGGCCGUGUCUCAGUCCCAGUGUGGGGGGCCUUCCUCUCAGAACCCCUACGCAUCGUCGCCACGGUGGGCCGUCACCCCGCCGUCUAGCUAACGCGCCGCAUGCCCAUCCGCCACCGGAUCGCUCCUUUGGCCACCGGAGGAUGCCCUCCGGUGGCGUCACGGGGUAUUAGGCCGCGUUUCCGCGGGUUAUCCCCCUGUGGCGGCCAGGUUGCAUACGUGUUACUCACCCGUGCGCCGGUCGCCGGCGGGCG
rnacentral:rRNA from 1 species